rnacentral:rRNA from 1 species
UACGGAGGAUGCGAGCGUUAUCCGGAUUUAUUGGGUUUAAAGGGUGCGUAGGCGGCGCUUCAGGUCAGCGGUGAAAUACCGGGGCUCAACCCCGGGGCUGCCGUUGAAACUGGCUGUCUUGAGAUGUCGAGAGGUAUGCGGAAUGCGCAGUGUAGCGGUGAAAUGCAUAGAUAUCACGCAGAACUCCGAUUGCGAAGGCAGCAUACCGGCGCUCAACUGACGCUCAUGCACGAAAGCGUGGGUAUCGAACAGG